CGGAGCUCCACCCACUUGAUUUUCAGUAGAGGAUCACGUCUCUCCGGCGGGUUUUACCUUACAGGUGCUUUACAAUGGCUGGACUCAUAGGCCAAUGUUCCAGUCACGUUGCUGAAGACAGAACUAGUUUGAAUCAGUUCACCCCAGACUGCUUUGAGAACUCACAUCAGAACACGUCAGGAUUUAUAGAAACACUGAAGAAAUAUUCAGUCCCUACGGAAAUGGAGGUUGGGGGCGUGGCCAGAUACAGCUGAUUUGCAUAAAAG